AUCGGAGCGAGGGCUGCGACUGGCGGAGGAGGCUGGCGAGGGGGUUAAUGCUCUCCGCCAGGCAGGGAAGGUUAGCAGAGGGACCAAUGUGAUUAAGGCGGUAGGAGAGGAAAGAUGCGCCUGCUGCCUGGCUGCGGUGGCUGAAGGGUGGUGCGCGGGGAGCUGCCUGCCUGCUUGCCGCAGAGAAAGGGCCGGAUAUGACCAGGGACGGUCCUCUGCCUGCGCUGGAGGGCGGCUUCACCUGUGGACCUGCUCCUGCCAACCUGCCAGCGUGUACCUGGGCCAGGAAGGAGGACCCACCUGAGGUGCCCGCGGCCGCCUCCCUUUCGCCCCGAGCUGCAUCUCCGUGCCAGAGAAAGGCAGAGUCCGCGGCGAAGAGGCGCUGAAGGCGAGGCGGGCAGCGCGUCGGCUGGAAGGGCGCCGAGGCAGGAGCAGGGCUGGUCCCCUCUUGGUUGGCUGCGGGAGCCUUGCGGGAGAGGAAGCGGGCGGCUAGCGGAGCCCAGACGUGGCUGGGAGGCGAGCAAGGCGCAGGGCAUGUGGAGGCUGGCCGCCCUCUUGUUCCAGAGCAUCUUGAAUGAUGCCAAUUUAUAAAGCCGAAAUAAAGAUAGUUUGCAAGGUGAAAAAGUUACUGCCACAGAGAUAAAAUGAUUUACUGGAUUCCUAUAAUAAGCAGGAGUUUGGAUUAGAUGACCUAUGUGAUCCUCCGCUCACUCAUGCAUUUUAAGAUGGUAUGCUAAGAUCCCGAAAAACAGGGAUGUCCCAAGUUUCCUUUUUUCUUUUUUGUUUGUAUAGUUUGCGUGAGAUGCAGCUGAAUAUGUCACACAAAGCUGUCAGAGAGAAUGUAGGAUAAUUUACAAAAAAUGGGCUGGACAAGGAGUGAUGUUGAUGGAUAAAAGAUUGAUAAAACCUAAAUAACACAGAAAUCUUGAAUAAGCAGGAUGAAAACUUGAAUGUUUUCCUUUACCAAUGUAGUAUCUUUAUCACAAUGUUCAAAAACUCUUCGCUUUUGCUAGGGAGAGGGGGGAAAAGACUCAAUUGCUACCUUUCCCAUGUCACCUCCUUUUUAACAGCAGCAUACAGUACUAUGUCACUUAAGCAGAGAAAAUUGCCUGACGAUCUGAAACUUAGGGUGUCUGCUGCAAAGGGAGGUGCCCAGAAAUGUUUUUGCAUAGAAAUUCUAUAUCGAAGGCAAACUUAUACAGCAAUAAAAAACAGACACACCUUCCCUGAAAACGCCAUUCAGCAUAUUUUUCUCAUAUUCUUUUUUCAGAUUUGCUGCCUGCAUUGGAUCCUAGGCCUCUUAGCUUGUAAUUUUAAAAAUGCUUAGGCAGUUUGUAUUGCUGGAAACAUUUGAUAGGCUGAGAGAUGGUGCCUGGGAAUUUUUUCCCCUGAAGGCAUAGAAUGGAGCUUAGUAAAUUUUUGGUAAUUCAGGGAUGAG